UCAGACUGCACGAGAUAAGUUGGGCAGUCAAAAGGGAAAGAGCCCAGACCACCGGCUAAGGUCCCAAAGUGCGUGUUAAGUGGAAAAGGAUGUGGGAAUUCGAAGACAACUAGGAUGUUGGCUCAGAAGCAGCCAUACAUUCAAAGAGUGCGUAACAGCUCACUAGUCGAGAGUUCCUGCGCCGAAAAUGUCCGGGGCUGAAACACGACACCGAAGCCGUGGACUCGCAAUGCGAGUGGUAGAGGAGCAUUCUUAAAACCGACGAAGCUGUACCGGAAGGAGCAGUGGAGGGAUAAGAAGAGAGAAUGCCGGAAUGAGUAGCGAGAGAAAGGUGGGAAUCCUUUCGGCCGAAUAUCUAAGGUUUCCAGAGUAAAGCUGAUCUGCUCUGGGUAAGUCGGGGCCUAAGCACAGGUCGCAAGACGUAAGCGAUGGAUAACAGGUUUAGAUUCCUGUACCACGCAUUAUCAGAACUGUAGGGACGCAUGUGGAAAGCACGAGCCGGGAAUGGAAAGACCGGUACAAGCGGGGUAGGAGUACAAUAGGCAAAUCCGUUGUAUGAUCCGAAGACGUGAUGUGGAGCGAAAUAAAGUAGUGAAGCGUGUGAGCCAUGUGCCGAGAAAAGCUGCUAUUGUGUAAUGCGUGCCCGUACCGUAAACCGACACAGGUGGAUGAGGAGAGAAUCCUAAGGCCGGCGGAAGAAGCAUUGUUAAGGAACUCGGCAAAAUGACCCCGUAACUUCGGGAGAAGGGGUGCCUGCGAGAGCAGGCCGCAGAGAAUAGGCUCAAGCAACUGUUUAGCAAAAACACAGGUCUAUGCGAAACCGAAAGGUGAAGUAUAUGGGCUGACGCCUGCCCGGUGCUGGAAGGUUAAGAGGAGAGGUUAGCGAAAGCGAAGCUUUGAAUUUAAGCCCCAGUAAACGGCGGCCGUAACUAUAACGGUCCUAAGGUAGCGAAAUUCCUUGUCGGGUAAGUUCCGACCCGCACGAAAGGCGUAAUGAUUUGAGCACUGUCUCGACAAUGCAUCCGGUGAAAUUGAAGUACCAGUGAAGAUGCUGGUUACCCGCGCCAGGACGGAAAGACCCCAUGGAGCUUUACUCCAGUUUGAUACUGGGAUUCGGUACUGCAUGUACAGGAUAGGUGGGAGACGAAGAAGGAUGGACGCCAGUCUGUCCGGAGUCGCUGUUGGGAUACCACCCCUGUAGUACUGGGUUUCUAACCAGUUGCCAUGAACUGGCAAUGGGACAAUGUCAGGCGGGGAGUUUGACUGGGGCGGUCGCCUCCGAAAGGGUAUCGGAGGCGCUCAAAGGUUCCCUCAGAAUGGUUGGAAACCAUUUGAAGAGUGCAAAGGCAGAAGGGAGCUUGACUGCGACACCGACGGGUGGAGCAGGUACGAAAGUAGGACUUAGUGAUCCGGUGGUAUAAAGUGGGAUUGCCAUCGCUCAACGGAUAAAAGCUACCCUGGGGAUAACAGGCUUAUCACUCCCAAGAGUUCACAUCGACGGAGUGGUUUGGCACCUCGAUGUCGGCUCAUCGCAUCCUGGGGCUGUAGUAGGUCCCAAGGGUUGGGCUGUUCGCCCAUUAAAGCGGUACGCGAGCUGGGUUCAGAACGUCGUGAGACAGUUCGGUCCCUAUCCGGCGCGGGCGGAGGAUAUUUGAGAGGAGCUGUCCUUAGUACGAGAGGACCGGGAUGGACGGACCACUGGUGUAUCUGUUGUCGACCAACGGCAUGGCAGAGUAGCCAAGUCUGGAAGGGAUAAACGCUGAAGGCAUCUAAGCGUGAAGCCCCCCUCAAGAUGAGAUAUCCCUCCUAUAAGGAGUAAGACCCCUUGA
rnacentral:rRNA from 1 species